UAGAUCCUGCUUACAUCAGUAGAUCACCCCUUUCUCCUCAUACUUUAAACAUAAUUAGCCCUACUAUCUCUGCUGCUAGUACUUGUCACACCAGGAGAGAGACUGAAAAAGGUAGUACAUAUAGAUCUGAUAUUGCUCAUAGAGUAAUGACAGAAUGUACUUCAUCAAUAAAGGACUGUGGGAUUGAUAUCAACUUCUUAGUUGACAAGUUGCUGGAACACAAAAUUGUAAAUUCAAGAGAGAAAAGGAAAAUAACUGCUAGAGAAACUGACAAUGACAAAAUGGAUGAAUUACUUCACAUCAUUUUGAGUUCUAUUCGUAUGAAUGGAAAAGUGUUUGGUAUAUUCAUAGAUAUACUGA